UACGUAGGGUGCGAGCGUUGUCCGGAAUUACUGGGCGUAAAGAGCUUGUAGGUGGUUUGUCGCGUUGUUCGUGAAAUCUCACGGCUUAACUGUGAGCGUGCGGGCGAUACGGGCAGACUAGAGUACUGCAGGGGAGACUGGAAUUCCUGGUGGUAGCGGUGGGAAUGCGCAGAUAUCAGGAGGAACACCGGUGGCGAAGGCGGGUCUCUGGGCAGUGAACUGACGCUGGAGAAGCGAAAGCGUGGGGAGCGAACAGGA
rnacentral:rRNA from 1 species